rnacentral:rRNA from 1 species
GACGAACGCUGGCGGCGUGCUUAACACAUGCCAGUCGAACGGAAAGGCCCUGCUUUUGUGGGGUGCCCGAGUGGCGAACGGGUGAGUAACACGUGAGUAACCUGCCCUUGACUUUGGGAUAACUUCAGGAAACUGGGGCUAAUACCGGAUAGGAGCUCCUGCUGCAUGGUGGGGGUUGGAAAGUUUCGGCGGUUGGGGAUGGACUCGCGGCUUAUCAGCUUGUUGGUGGGGUAGUGGCUUACCAAGUCUUUGACGGGUAGCCGGCCUGAGAGGGUGACCGGCCACAUUGGGACUGAGAUACGGCCCAGAGUCCUACGGGAGGCAGCAGUGGGGAAUAUUGCACAAUGGGCGGAAGCCUGAUGCAGCAACGCCGCGUGCGGGAUGACGGCCUUCGGGUUGUAAACCGCUUUCGCCUGUGACGAAGCGUGAGUGACGGUAAUGGGUAAAGAAGCACCGGCUAACUACGUG